GGACGCUGUGGCGGCUUCGUAGAUGUGUGGGGCUUCUCAUGGCCUGUGGCCGGUGUAGGUGGGGACCUGUGACGUCCGAGUGGUUUGGAGGGCGACGCCCCUCGGAAUAUUGUUUUGAGAAGGGGGAGACGAGUCUGUUUCCCCGAACAGGACCUGGACAGCCUCUUCGGGUCUGCAGCCAGAGAUACCCUCUCCGAAAUUUCUCAGGAAAUUCUACCUUAGAAAGAUCUAGUUAACGCAGCUGCAGGAUGGAGAGCCUUCAGCAAUCCUUGGGAAACUUAGGACUUCAUUUAUGGGCAAGACUCCAGCCUCCAUGACCUUCCCUGAGUUCCAAACAGUGGAUUUGAACAGUUGCUAAUCAAAGUGAGGAGCAGCCAAGAAGCCAGCUGAGGCAAGAUUAAAGGGACCAGAGAACUCAUCAAGGUCAGGAGACCCACUACCUGUGACCCUGCACAUACCCCCCCCCCCCCCCCCGAAGUGUUUUUAUAAAACUCAACAAAUCCUUCCGGGUUAUGACACAUAGUUUUUCAAGCCAGGGCCUUCUGUGCCCACCUUUACCUGGCAGAGCAGUAAGACUCUCCUUUUCUAGUUCACCCAAACUCUCUUGAGAUUUGAUUUGGCACAGGUGCAAAGAGGCAGAAUUUUUGGCAUUAUAAAGCAGGUGGCAUGCUUUCUGACACAAAGUGUGGGAAAUUCUGUAUUGUGACUUCUUGCUCUAUGUGAAAGUGUUUUGUAUGUAAGUUUGAUGCAUUUUAUAAGAUUAAAAGUAAUCCUGAUCUAUUUA